rnacentral:rRNA from 1 species
CACGCCGUAAACGAUGGAUGCUAGCCGUUGGACAGCUUGCUGUUCAGUGGCGCAGCUAACGCAUUAAGCAUCCCGCCUGGGGAGUACGGUCGCAAGAUUAAAACUCAAAGGAAUUGACGGGGGCCCGCACAAGCGGUGGAGCAUGUGGUUCAAUUCGAAGCAACGCGCAGAACCUUACCAACCCUUGACAUGUCCAGUAUGGGUUUCAGAGAUGAGACCCUUCAGUUCGGCUGGCUGGAACACAGGUGC